GGAAUCUAGAACAUCGAGUCUUUCUGCUUUGGAACUUCUGAAAACUUCUGCUGCUGAUCGAUAUACAAAGGAGAGUAGCAGCAUCAUGGUUAUUGGACUUAACAUUCACACAGCACCAGUCGAAGUGCGGGAGAAAGUUUCUAUCCCAGAAGCACAAUGGCCUCAAGCAAUUCGCGAACUGUGUUCUUUGAAUCAUAUAGAGGAAGCUGCUGUAUUGAGUACUUGUAACAGAAUUGAAAUAUAUGUUCUGGCGCUUGCCCAAAAUCGUGGAAUUAAAGAAGUGACUGAGUGGAUGU
rnacentral:misc_RNA from 1 species